AAGAUUGCAUGGGGACUACUAAUCCUUAAUUCUGGGUAAGGCCAGGAGUCUUUGG
rnacentral:tRNA from 1 species